UACAGAGGGUGCAAGCGUUUGUUCGGAAUUAUUGGGCGUAAAGAGCGUGUAGGCGGCCAGGUAGGUCUGGUGUGAAAACUCGAGGCUUAACCUUGAGAUGUCAUCGGAAACCAUUUGGCUAGAGUCCGGAAGAGGAAAGUGGAAUUCCUGGUGUAGCGGUGAAAUGCGCAGAUAUCAGGAAGAACACCAAUGGCGAAAGCAGCUUUCUGGGACGGUACUGACGCUGAGACGCGAAAGCGUGGGGAGCGAACAGG
rnacentral:rRNA from 1 species